GUUUUUAGUUAUUUUU
rnacentral:sRNA from 1 species